GCCAUAUCAAUAAGCGGAGGAAAAGAAACCAACAGGGAUGCCCCUAGUAACGGCGAGUGAAGCGGGCAAAGCUCUAGCCGAAAAUCGGUGCUCCAUGCGGGGCCUCGAAUUGUAGUCUAACGACGCGACAUCAGUGGGGACCCGGGUAGAAAUCCUUUGGAACAGGGUAUCAGAGAGGGUGAGAAUCCCGUAUUUGACUCGGAGCUUCCCACGUACGAUGCGUGUUCAAGGAGUCGGGUUGCUUGGGAUUGCAGCUCAAAGUGGGUGGUAAACUCCAUCUAAAGCUAAAUAUCGACGAGAGACCGAUAGCAAACAAGUACCGUGAGGGAAAGAUGAAAAGAACUUUGGAAAGAGAGUUAAACAGUACGUGAAAUUGCUGAAAGGGAAACGCUUGAAGUCAGUCGCGUUGGCCGGAAAUCAACCCUGCUUCUGUUGGGUGUACUUUCUGGUUGACGGGCCAGCAUCAGUUUUGACCGGUGGAAAAAGUCCAAGGGAAUGUGGCAUCUCCGGAUGUGUUAUAGCCCUUGGUCGUAUACAUCGGUUGGGACUGAGGAAUUCAGCACGCCGCAAGGCCGGGUUUCGACCACGUUCGUGCUUAGGAUGCUGGCAUAAUGGCUUUAAUCGACCCGUCUUGAAACACGGACC
rnacentral:rRNA from 1 species